AACGAACGCUGGCGGCAUGCCUAACACAUGCAAGUCGAACGAGACCUUCGGGUCUAGUGGCGCACGGGUGCGUAACGCGUGGGAACCUGCCCUUAGGUUCGGAAUAACUCCCCGAAAGGGGUGCUAAUACCGGAUAAUGUCUUCGGACCAAAGAUUUAUCGCCUUUGGAUGGGCCCGCGUUGGAUUAGCUAGUUGGUAGGGUAAAAGCCUACCAAGGCGACGAUCCAUAGCUGGUCUGAGAGGAUGAUCAGCCACACUGGGACUGAGACACGGCCCAGACUCCUACGGGAGGCAGCAGUGGGGAAUAGUGGACAAUGGGCGAAAGCCUGAUCCAGCAAUGCCGCGUGAGUGAUGAAGGCCUUAGAGUUGUAAAGCUCUUUUACCCGGGAUGAUAAUGACAGUACCGGGAGAAUAAGCUCCGGCUAACUCCGUG
rnacentral:rRNA from 1 species